UUUAUGAAAAGGUCAUUGACUUCAAGUAAAGGUGCAGCUUAUAGAAAAGAAAGAGGUGGGUUACAUUUAAAAGAAUAAUACGGAUAAGAUGAAUGAAGGAAUCUUUGAAGGUGGAUUUAACUGUNAAAUUUAAUAAAAUUUGGUGAGAGCUCUAUCUUGUG
rnacentral:rRNA from 1 species